rnacentral:snRNA from 15 species
UGCACUUCGGCGUGUUGAAGCCUGCGACGAUCCCUAAUUGGGCUCGCUCGGACGCGUAGUUUUUUCUAGUGGGGAGGUCUUCGGAUCAUCCCUU